rnacentral:rRNA from 1 species
AUUGAACGCUGGCGGCAUGCCUUACACAUGCAAGUCGAACGGUAACGCGGGGCAACCUGGCGACGAGUGGCGAACGGGUGAGUAAUGCAUCGGAACGUGCCCAGUAGUGGGGGAUAGCCCGGCGAAAGCCGGAUUAAUACCGCAUACGACCUACGGGUGAAAGCGGGGGACCGUAAGGCCUCGCGCUAUUGGAGCGGCCGAUGUCAGAUUAGGUUGUUGGUGGGGUACAGGCCUACCAAGCCGACGAUCUGUAGCUGGUCUGAGAGGACGACCAGCAACACUGGGACUGUGACACGGCCCAGACUCCUACGGGAGGCAGCAGUGGGGAAUUUUGGACAAUGGGGGCAACCCUGAUCCAGCCAUGCCGCGUGCGGGAAUAAGGCCUUCGGGUUGUAAACCGCUUUUGUCAGGGAAGAAACGCUCUGGGCUAAUACCCUGGGGUAAUGACGGUACCUGAAGAAUAAGCACCGGCUAACUACGUGCCAGCAGCCGCCGUAACAC